rnacentral:rRNA from 1 species
UACGGAGGGUGCAAGCGUUACCCGGAAUCACUGGGCGUAAAGGGCGUGUAGGCGGCUCGUUCAGUCUGGUUUUAAAGACCGAAGCUCAACUUCGGGCAUGGACUGGAUACUGGCGAGCUAGACGGAUGGAGAGGUCACUGGAAUUCUUGGUGUAGCGGUGGAAUGCGUAGAUACCAAGAGGAACACCGAUGGCGAAGGCAGGUGACUGGACAUUUGGGUGACGCUGAGGCGGCGAAAAGUGGUGGGGAGCGAACCGG